AUUUGGUGUUGGGGGCACUUAAUGCACAACUUCUUGAAUCGCUCCCAGUACUCAUAAAGCGACUCCCCUGGAUGCUGCUUGAUACCGCAAAUUUCUUUCCUUAAUCU